UCCUACGGGGAGGCAGCAGUAGGGAAUCUUCCACAAUGGACGAAAGUCUGAUGGAGCAACGCCGCGUGAGUGAAGAAGGGUUUCGGCUCGUAAAACUCUGUUGUUAAAGAAGAACAUAUCUGAGAGUAACUGUUCAGGUAUUGACGGUAUUUAACCAGAAAGCCACGGCUAACUACGUGCCAGCAGCCGCGGUAAUACGUAGGUGGCAAGCGUUGUCCGGAUUUAUUGGGCGUAAAGCGAGCGCAGGCGGUUUUUUAAGUCUGAUGUGAAAGCCUUCGGCUCAACCGAAGAAGUGCAUCGGAAACUGGGAAACUUGAGUGCAGAAGAGGACAGUGGAACUCCAUGUGUAGCGGUGAAAUGCGUAGAUAUAUGGAAGAACACCAGUGGCGAAGGCGGCUGUCUGGUCUGUAACUGACGCUGAGGCUCGAAAGUAUGGGUAGCAAACAGGAUUAGAUACCCUGGUAGUCCAUACCGUAAACGAUGAAUGCUAAGUGUUGGAGGGUUUCCGCCCUUCAGUGCUGCAGCUAACGCAUUAAGCAUCCGCCGGGGGAG
rnacentral:rRNA from 1 species